AACGUAGGUGGCGAGCGUUAUCCGGAUUUACUGGGCGUAAAGCGUGUGCAGGCGGUUCAAAAAGGGGGGUGUGAAAGGUGUCGGCUCAACCGAGAUAGGUUAUGCCAGACUGUUGGACUAGAGUGUGAGAGAGGGACGUGGAAUUCCACGUGUAGCGGUGAAAUGCGUAGAGAUGUGGAGGAACACCAGUGGCGAAGGCGACUCUUUGGUCUGUAACUGACGCUGAGGCGCGAAAGCGUGGGGAGCAAACAGG
rnacentral:rRNA from 1 species